rnacentral:rRNA from 1 species
UGAGGAAUAUUGGUCAAUGGGCGCAAGCCUGAACCAGCCAAGUAGCGUGAGGGAAGACUGCCCUACGGGUUGUAAACCUCUUUUGUUUGGGAAUAAAGUGCGGGACGCGUCCCGCAUUGCAUGUACCAUUUGAAUAAGGACCGGCUAAUUCCGUGCCAGCAGCCGCGGUAAUACGGAAGGUCCGGGCGUUAUCCGGAUUUAUUGGGUUUAAAGGGAGCGCAGGCCGUGGGUUAAGCGUGUCGUGAAAUUCCGUCGCUCAACGGCGGACGUGCGGCGCGAACUGGUCCACUUGAGUACGCGGGACGUUGGCGGAAUUCGUGGUGUAGCGGUGAAAUGCUUAGAUAUCACGAAGAACUCCGAUUGCGAAGGCAGCUGACGGUAGCGCAACUGACGCUGAGGCUCGAAAGUGCGGGUAUCGAACA